rnacentral:rRNA from 1 species
GUUCAUGGCCAUACCACCCUGAAUGUUCCUGAUCUUGGAAGGUAAGCAAGGUCAGGCCUGGUUAGUACUUGGAUGGGAGAAAAGACUUAGUUAUAAUGAACA